UGACUGAGAGCUGUCCUUCAUGAAAACAGAACCCACAACAACCAUGACUUUUAUCACCAUCUUUAUCUGGAUAUUUGCCCUCUGGAUUCAAGAGUCCAGAGGCCAGGUCACUGUGACUCAGACUCCUGCAGUGAAAACUGUUUCAGUGGGUCACUCAGUCAGUCUCAGCUGUAAGACCAGCAGUGCUGUAUACAGUGACAGCAAUGGACAGAGGUUGGCCUGGUACCAACAGAAACCUGGAGGAGCUCCUAAACUCCUAAUAUAUUGGGCUAAACCCCUUCAGUCUGGGACUCCAUCUAGAUUCAGUGGCAGUGGAUCUGGGAGUGACUUCACUCUGACCAUCAGUGGAGUCCAGGCUGAAGAUGCAGGAGAUUACUACUGUCAGAGUGACAACAGUGGUCCAGUGUUCACACAGUGA